rnacentral:misc_RNA from 1 species
AUGAGAUUCAAAUUCAGUGGUGGAGUUGAAGGGGAGAGAGAGCUGUGUCUCCCUGACGGGGUAUAAAUAUAUCCCCUCAUUUUCAUUUGUUUUCUUUGCUUUUAAAACAGAGCAAGAGAAGUAGCUACUACUCAUAACGUUUCCAUUACCAUACUUCUCUCUCAAAAUCCCCUCUCCCAAAAGCAAACCCAGAGCUAUAAUUAAGAGAAACUUCCAGAUCAGGACACUGCCCCAAGCAAAGGACACCCUUGUCAUUUCCCUCAGAUCCCUCCGCCCUUCCCCUCUCUCUCUCUUUCUCUCCCUGCAACUAGAGAGAGAGAAGCAGAGGGAAGCAUAGCUAACUUAUUACUGUGCUUUUUAAGACACUUGUGGAGGAAGAGAAAGAGAAG